CCCGCACAAGCGGAGGAACAUGUGGUUUAAUUCGAUGAUACGCGAGGAACCUUACCCGGGCUUGAAAUGCAUCUGACGUAGGCAGAGACGUCUAUUCCCUUCGGGGCAGAUGUGUAGGUGCUGCAUGGUUGUCGUCAGCUCGUGCCGUGAGGUGUCGGCUUAAGUGCCAUAACGAGCGCAACCCUCAUCAUUAGUUACCAACAGGUUAAGCUGGGGACUCUAGUGAGACUGCCAUCGUAAGAUGCGAGGAAGGUGGGGAUGACGUCAAAUCAGCACGGCCCUUACGUCCGGGGCGACACACGUGUUACAAUGGGUGGUACAAAGGGCAGCUACCUGGCGACAGGAUGCUAAUCUCCAAAACCACUCUCAGUUCGGAUCGGAGUCUGCAACUCGACUCCGUGAAGCUGGAUUCGCUAGUAAUCGCGCAUCAGCCAUGGCCGCGGUCGAAUACGUUCCGGGCCUU
rnacentral:rRNA from 1 species